GACGAACGCUGGCGGCGUGCUUAACACAUGCAAGUCGAACGGAAAGGCCCUGCUUUUGUGGGGUGCUCGAGUGGCGAACGGGUGAGUAACACGUGAGUAACCUGCCCUUGACUUUGGGAUAACUUCAGGAAACUGGGGCUAAUACCGGAUAGGAGCUCCUGCUGCAUGGUGGGGGUUGGAAAGUUUCGGCGGUUGGGGAUGGACUCGCGGCUUAUCAGCUUGUUGGUGGGGUAGUGGCUUACCAAGGCUUUGACGGGUAGCCGGCCUGAGAGGGUGACAGGCCACAGUGGGACUGAGAUACGGCCAAGACUCCUACGGGAGGCAGCAGUGGGGAAUAGUGCACAAUGGGCGGAAGCCUGAUGGAGAACGCCGCGUGCGGGAUGACGGCCUUCGGGUUGUAAACCGCUUUCGCCUGUGACGAAGCGUGAGUGACGGUAAUGGGUAAAGAAGCACCGGCUAACUACGUG
rnacentral:rRNA from 1 species